rnacentral:rRNA from 1 species
GGGUGAGUAUAAUGUGGGAAUCUGCCUUUUGGUCUGGAAUAACACGAGGAAACUUGUGCUAAUACCGGAUAAGCCUUUACAGGGAAAGUUUUAAUGCCAAAAGAUGAGCCCGCACUUGAUUAGCUAGUUGGUAAGGUAAAAGCUUACCAAGGCAACGAUCAAUAGCUGUUCUUAGAGGAAGACCAGCCACAUUGGGACUGAGACACGGCCCAAACUCCUACGGGAGGCAGCAGUGGGGAAUCUUGCACAAUGGGGGAAACCCUGAUGCAGCGAUGCCGCGUGAGUGAAGAAGGCCUUUGGGUUGUAAAACUCUUUCGUCGGGGAAGAAAAUGACUGUACCCGAAUAAGAAGGUCCGGCUAACUUCGUGCCAGCAGCCGCGGUAAUACGAAGGGACCUAGCGUAGUUCGGAAUUACUGGGCUUAAAGAGUUCGUAGGUGGUUAAAAAAGUUGAUGGUGAAAUCCCAAGGCUCAACCUUGGAACUGCCAUCAAAACUUUUUAGCUAGAGUAUGAUAGAGG